rnacentral:lncRNA from 1 species
AUAAAAUUGUAGGUACUUUCAAGAAAUAUAGUUAACUACAAGAAUUAGAUUACAGCGAUGGUCAAAAGCAUUUAGAUAUUGCUUUGAAAUCUACAGAUAAGUAUUUACAUAGGAAAAUAUUGGAGGAUGAGGCUCUACCUACUGCCUCAGGUUAAUUUAAAUUCUGAGUUGCAACAACAGCAACAAGCAAGAAGGGCACCAUUAAAUGAAUAUUAUACACAUAAGUAUUAUUAUACACAGAAAGAGUAAUGUUAUACACAUAAAUAUUAACAUUUUGUAGAGCAACAACAGAAUAAAAAACCAAAAUAUGAACACCAGCAACUAAAACAGGAACCAUUAAAUGAAUAUUAUAUACAGCAAUAACAGCAUCAAAUAAUGGAAAUAAUGGACCCUAUUGCUCAAAUCAAAAACAAAAUUUCAGCAUUACCACUUUAUUGGUUAUAUCAAUAAAAGAAAUUGAAUUUAUGAGUCUAGAUCCUACAAGCAUGCAGAGCUAUCACAUAAUUUUAAAUGAAGAUUUAUCUAUUAUAGUAAUUUAUUCUAAUAACGAAAAAAAAAACUUUGGAUCAAAAAAUAUUUUCUUCUGAUGAGGUUUAUGAAUAUUAAAGUCUGUUGAAGUUUGGCCAUUAUGUGUUGCUAUACAAUUUAUUUAUGAUGUUACAGUAGUUAAACCAUCCGAGUACGAAACAUGUUUAAAAUCCACUAUUCUUAAUGAAUGGCAACUACCAACUUGAGAGGAAGCUAAGAGAAAGGUUCUAUUGGGUGAACUACAAGGAAGACAUGAGCAUCUGGAAGGGCUAUAAAAUUAUAUUAUUAUUUCACGCCCCAAGCCAUGUUGGAAUAGCUGGGAGUGAAAAAGAAGAUAAUACUGCACACAAUUCUUGUCUAGAAGUAGUUGAUAUUAAGGUAGUUAAGCCAUCCGACUAUCAAACAUUUAAAAUUCACUAUUCUGAAUGAAUGGCAAUUACGUUGGCAAAACGUAAAUAAAUACUUGUAUAGUAUAAAAUUACAUUAUAUUGGCUUAAUUCUUAUACUA